UGGGGAAUUUUGGACAAUGGGGGAAACCCUGAUCCAGCCAUCCCGCGUGUGCGAUGAAGGCCUUCGGGUUGUAAAGCACUUUUGGCAGGAAAGAAACGUCAUGGGUUAAUACCCCGUGAAACUGACGGUACCUGCAGAAUAAGCACCGGCUAACUACGUGCCAGCAGCCGCGGUAAUACGUAGGGUGCAAGCGUUAAUCGGAAUUACUGGGCGUAAAGCGUGCGCAGGCGGUUCGGAAAGAAAGAUGUGAAAUCCCAGAGCUCAACUGUGGAACUGCAUUUUUAACUACCGGGCUAGAGUGUGUCAGAGGGAGGUGGAAUUCCGCGUGUAGCAGUGAAAUGCGUAGAUAUGCGGAGGAACACCGAUGGCGAAGGCAGCCUCCUGGGAUAACACUGACGCUCAGGCAAGAAAGCGUGGGGAGCAAACAGG
rnacentral:rRNA from 1 species